rnacentral:rRNA from 1 species
AUUGAACGCUGGCGGCAUGCCUUACACAUGCCAGUCGAACGGCAGCACGGGUGCUUGCCCCUGGUGGCGAGUGGCGAACGGGUGAGUAAUACAUCGGAACAUGUCCUGUAGUGGGGGAUAGCCCGGCGAAAGCCGGAUUAAUACCGCAUACGAUCUACGGAUGAAAGCGGGGGACCUUCGGGCCUCGCGCUAUAGGGUUGGCCGAUGGCUGAUUAGCUAGUUGGUGGGGUAAAGGCCUACCAAGGCGACGAUCAGUAGCUGGUCUGAGAGGACGACCAGCCACACUGGGACUGAGACACGGCCCAGACUCCUACGGAGGCAGCAGUGGGGAAUUUUGGACAAUGGGCGAAAGCCUGAUCCAGCAAUGCCGCGUGUGUGAAGAAGGCCUUCGGGUUGUAAAGCACUUUUGUCCGGAAAGAAAUCCUUGGCUCUAAUACAGCCGGGGGAUGACGGUACCGGAAGAAUAAGCACCGGCUAACUACGUG